CUAAAUUGUAACACCCAAAUGUUAUUACAACAUAAUUUGAGAAUGUAAGUAAAAUGUUAGCUUAUAAUAACAUAGAGUACAACUUUGAAAGUAAUCUACCUUUGUUAAUUUUUUUUUUUUUAAUCAAAGUGUCCGUCUUCGACGACUAUUCCUUGAGUUUGUGAUUCGGCCCCUCUUCACACAGACCAAUUAAACCACGGGAUGUGCCUCCUACUGACCAGGGUCCGAGCGCCUCUUCAACUGAAUUGCCAAAGUGCCUAUUGAGUCAACUCACGUUGCGCCUUGCCUUCCAAGACAUUCCUGCCUUUCAGGAUAAAUCAUACCUUUCAGUAUAUGCCGUGCCUUCCAAGAGCUCCACGAAUUGAACCCACAACCUCUGAACUGUCAGUCUUGAGAGAAUCCUUCCUUUGCUAGUGGAGAAGUGCCCCGGGGGGAAAUCUACCUUUGUUACUUUGUCGCAUUGGAUGUUGUGUGUUUCAUUAUUAUCCAUAUGUUGUCGAAUAUAAGAUGCUUAAUUUGAAUUCUCUAUCUAAUUGUUGUCACUUCUGAGGAGCAAAUACAAACACUAUCAGAAAUAAUGCUUAUAUUAAAUAUCAACAGGCUUUUUGGUCACUUUAGCCUAUUU
rnacentral:lncRNA from 1 species